GCAUCUUUUGAUGUGAGGAAAGUCCGGACACCCAAAGUGAAAGGUUGCUUGGGAAAGCCAAGUGCGCGCGAGCGUGAGGAACAGUGCCACAGAAAAGUAGACUACGAUUUAUUCGUACAGGUGCAACGGCGAGGUAAAAGCUCACCGCCGCCACGGUGACGGGGCGGGUCAUGGUAAACCCCAAUCGGGUGCAAGUUUAAAUUUGCAAGAAGAAUUUCACUUUUCGUUUGUUUUAUACAAAAUUGCAAGACAAAACGCACUAGACAGAUGAUUACCUUAAACAGAAUCCGGCUUAUAGCCCGCUUUU
rnacentral:RNase_P_RNA from 1 species